GUGUCAGCCGCCGCGGUAAGACGUAGGGUCCGAGCGUUGUCCGGAUUUACUGGGCGUAAAGAGCGCGUAGGCGGUCUGUUAAGUGUGGUGUGAAAUCUCCAGGGCUCAACCCGGAAACUGCACCGCAUACUGGCAGACUGGAGGGAUGCAGAGGUGAGUGGAAUUCCUGGUGUACCGGUGAAAUGGGUAGAUAUCAGGAGGAACACCCGUGGCGAAGGCGGCUCACUGGGCAUCUCCUGACGCUGAGGCGCGAAAGUGUGGGGAGCAAACAGGAUUAGAUACCCCAGUAGUCC
rnacentral:rRNA from 1 species